CGGAAAUAAUGCCGCCAUCUUGUGAAGUGUCACGCUGAGAUUUAUUUGCUGGCAUCCUUUGUUCUACAACUACGCCCUCCUGUCAAUGUCAAUCAAGUGCCAAA